AAUCAACGCUGGCGGCGUGCCUAACACAUGCAAGUCGAACGCGAAAGCCCCUUCGGGGGCAAGUAGAGUGGCGUCCGGGUGAGUAACACGUGGGUAAUCUACCUCCGGGUGGGGAAUAACUCGCCGAAAGGUGGGCUAAUACCGCAUAAUGCAGCGGCACCGAAUGGUGAUUAGUUGUUAAAGCGGGGGACCUUAGGGCCUCGCGUCUGGAGAGGAGCCUGCGGCAGAUUAGCUUGUUGGAGGGUAAUGGCCUACCAAGGCUGCGAUCUGUAGCUGGUCUGAGAGGACGGCCAGCCACACUGGCACUGACACACGGGCCAGACUCCUACGGGAGGCAGCAGUGGGGAAUUUUGGGCAAUA
rnacentral:rRNA from 1 species